rnacentral:rRNA from 1 species
AGUGACGUCAAGUACCUCCAUGGCCCUUAUAGGUGGGGCUACACACGUCAUACAAUGGCUGGUACAAAGGGUUGCCAACCCGCGAGGGGGAGCUAAUCCCAUAAAGCCAGUCGUAGUCCGGAUCGUAGUCUGCAACUCGACUACGUGAAGUCGGAAUCGCUAGUAAUCGUGGAUCAGAAUGUCACGGUGAAUACGUUCCCGGGUCUU